AUGUACCACUCGUACACUGCGGUUCCUGUGCGCCGUCCGCACCCACCUGACGACUGCUCGCUACGUUUUGUUAGCU
rnacentral:sRNA from 1 species